UACGGAGGGGACUAGCGUUGUUCGGAAUUACUGGGCGUAAAGCGCACGUAGGCGGCUUAGCAAGUUGGAUGUGAAAGCCCUCGGCUUAACCAAGGAAGUGCAUCCAAAACUGCUGAGCUUGAGUAGUUAAGAGGAUCGCGGAAUUCCCGGUGUAGAGGUGAAAUUCGUAGAUAUCGGGAGGAACACCAGUGGCGAAGGCGGCGAUCUGGGAACAUACUGACGCUGAGGUGCGAAAGCGUGGGGAGCAAACAGG
rnacentral:rRNA from 1 species